CAGGUGCUGCAUGGCUGUCGUCAGCUCGUGUCGGGAGAUGUUGGGUUAAGUCCCGCAACGAGCGCAACCCUUGUCCUUAGUUGCCAGCACGUAAUGGUGGGAACUCUAAGGAGACCGCCGGUGACAAACCGGAAGAAGGUGGGGAUGACGUCAAGUCAUCAUGGCCCUUACGGCCGGGGCUACACACGUACUACAAUGGUGGGGACAGAGGGCUGCAAGCCGGCGACGGUAAGCCAAUCCCA
rnacentral:rRNA from 1 species